rnacentral:rRNA from 1 species
GAUGAACGCUGGCGGCGUGCCUAAUACAUGCAAGUCGAGCGAACAGACGAGGAGCUUGCUCCUCUGACGUUAGCGGCGGACGGGUGAGUAACACGUGGAUAACCUACCUAUAAGACUGGGAUAACUUCGGGAAACCGGAGCUAAUACCGGAUAAUAUAUUGAACCGCAUGGUUCAAUAGUGAAAGACGGUUUUGCUGUCACCUAUAGAUGGAUCCGCGCCGCAUUAGCUAGUUGGUAAGGUAACGGCUUACCAAGGCAACGAUGCGUAGCCGACCUGAGAGGGUGAUCGGCCACACUGGAACUGAGACACGGUCCAGACUCCUACGGGAGGCAGCAGUAGGGAAUCUUCCGCAAUGGGCGAAAGCUUGGCGGAGCAACGCCGCGUGAGUGAUGAAGGUCUUCGGAUCGUAAAACUCUGUUAUUAGGGAAGAACAAAUGUGUAAGUAACUAUGCACGUCUUGACGGUACCUAAUCAGAAAGCCACGGCUAACUACGUG